UACAAUUAUGGCUUCUGUGCAUUGAAUUUUCUGUAAAGUUAACAGCGAAAUGAGCGAGUUUUCUGUGAACUUAACAGCAAACUAGUGGGUUGUACCAGUAUGACCCGCCAUACAACGUGUACGUUGUACGAGAUGCGCAUUCUAUAUUACUUCAUAUUCUCUGAUAUUAUCUUACUAAAAUUUCUUCAAUAAACUGCGAGAGUGGCUGAAUUGCAAAUGAUAAUAGCAUCCAAUUCGAACAAAUUUGUUAAAAUGGCUUGGCAAAAAAUUUUUACGGACGAUGUUGCCCAGAUAUACUCCUGGAAAGGAACGAAGACGAAAAAACCGGCAAGAGCACUUAGUGUGACGAUAGUAUUAAGGCAGGCAUACCAUCAAAAAUUCCCUACCGCUGCCACGGACAUGGAAUUCGAGCGAACUACAUUGAAUUUUUUACAACACGCCAGCAACAUAAUCACAAUCAAAAAAAUAAUUGAAUACGAAAGCAAAAAAAAUAUGUCGUCGGUAAUCGUAGAUUAAUUAGUUCUUAUUUUAUUGCGCGACAAUUUUAAAUUUAAUUUUGUAAGUUGUAAUUGGAUUAUUCUUAAGUUUUGCACUGAAAUUAACUUUUUACUCAUUUUGUUUCCUUAUCUUAAGAAUGUACGUUACCAUGUUAUUUAUUGUUUAAUAAAAUUUAUGUAUACAUAUAUGUAAGUGUACAU